rnacentral:rRNA from 1 species
AUGCAACUUUUACUGCACUGGUCUUGUGUAAAUGAGUUGCUCACUCUUGCUUCCACGCGCAUAUUCAUGCAAAAUUUUGUAGUCACAGGUGGUUUAGUUUUCUCUAUUAGUGUGCUUUUGUUAUCAAUUUUCGUGUAUCAUGACCAGAUGGACAAACUACAUGUCUGCAAACAAAUAAUCAAGAAGCUGGAAAAAAACCGACACAACAAAGCGCGCGUUUGCCUAGUCUAUAUUAAUUAUGCUAGAUAUAAGUGCUUCAUGCAUGGCCAUUCUUGUAUUAUGUUCCAUUUUCUAGAUUAUUUCAGCAAUGUUUGA